rnacentral:snRNA from 1 species
GGAUGUGAGGGCGAUCUGGCUGUGACAUCUGUAUCCCCAUUGAUUUCACAUCGGUCACCCCAUUGAUCACCAGGGUUGAUUCUACUGAUCUGGCUGGGUGGGUGUCCCCCUCCUCCCUCACCAAUCCAGGUGUGCCCUUCCUGAGGCUGUGGCUAGAUCAAAGAGGAGAACUUUCCCUUAGAGAAGAGGAGCAGUCUUCAGUCAAGGGUAUAUGAGUAGCUGCGCUCCCCUGCUAGAACCUCCAAGCAAGUUCUCUCAAAAUGUAACUCACUUGCCAAUUCUCACUCACAACCAUUACAAU